UUUUUAUCUCUUCCAUUUGCUUGUUUACCUGUUCAGCCAAGUUGCUUUACAACUGAGUGGGUUUUGAAUAAACAGGGUCCUGGGCGGUCAAAUAUUUGACUCAGCUCAAGUGGAAUAUUUUCAUUGCUUUUCACUUCAUUGAACAUGAGGGUCAGUUUGACAGGUCAACAUGGGUUUGCCUAAUGGUUCACCUUGUACCAAUCCAGGAGAGGAGUGGAUGGAAGGGAGAGAACUCUUCUCAGCAGUUUAGGAACCUGGGAACUGAUUGGCUAAUUAUUUACCAGUUGCGUCGUAAUGGGCCAUUUGUCUGGCCUUUCUAAAUCCUCAUUUCAUCAUCUGUCAAAAGAGUGAAAGAAUACUGCCUAGCUCAUGGCACAGCUGAGUGAAUUACAUGAUAAAUAAAAACUCAGUGCAUAGCAAGAAUUGAACCAAACAAAAGAUACAGGGACUGGGAGAAAAUAUCUGCACUCCAUGUAUUUGAGAAGGGGUUAAGAUCCAAAACACUUAAGGAAUUCAUACAACUUAAUAGCAAGAAAACAAAUAGCCUGAUUAAAAAAAUAGGCAAAAGGUCUGCAUAGAUAUUUCUCAAAAGAAAUUAUACAAAUGCCUAGCAAAUCGAUGAAAAAAAAAUGCUCAACACUACUAAUCACCCAGGAAAUGUAAAAUCAAACCACAAAGAUA
rnacentral:lncRNA from 1 species